UACGUAGGGGGCGAGCGUUGUCCGGAAUUACUGGGCGUAAAGAGCUCGUAGGUGGUUUGUCGCGUUGUUCGUGAAAUCUCACGGCUUAACUGUGAGCGUGCGGGCGAUACGGGCAGACUGGAGUACUGCAGGGGAGACUGGAAUUCCUGGUGUAGCGGUGGAAUGCGCAGAUAUCAGGAGGAACACCGGUGGCGAAGGCGGGUCUCGGGGCAGUAACUGACGUUGAGGAGCGAAAGCGUGGGGAGCGAACAGG
rnacentral:rRNA from 1 species